CAUCUUCCACGUACGUUAUCUUCCCUUCUCUAAUGUGCGGAAGCACAAACUCCAAGAACUUUGAGUAUUUGUCAUAGAAAUCAAAAACUACAAAGCCUUGAAUGCGGAUUCGUUUGUAGAUUAUGUUGGAUAGGUUGUGUACACCUUCCUGGUUCUCAAGAUUGUACUGUGAGAUCAUUCCACAGACAGCGAUACGCCCGUGUGGGUUCAUGUUUACGAGCACUGCGUUUAGCAUUUUGCCUCCUACAUUCUCAAAGUAUAUGUCAAUGCCAUUAGGGAAACACCUGGAAAAGAAAAGGAGAAUAUUUCUUAGAUUAGUCAAAAAGCAAUUGAUUAGAUAUUAAUCAAUUGAGUUUAUCCCCAAUUAAGUGGUUUCACAGGUAGAAUCAUGGUGUUCAUGCUAUUAUCCAUUUCUUUUGUUUCUACUUUAGUUUUGAAUUCUGGCUUUAUUAUGCAAACCGAUCCUAACAGUUAUAGACAUCAAACAGUUCAAAAUUAGUGGUAAUUAACCAAACCUUUUGAGGGCAGCAGUAAGGUCAGGUUCUUCCUUGUAGUUAAAUGCAUCAUCAAACCCAAACUUGGUCUUGAGGAGAUCAACCUAAAAAGAAGUAAAGGGGUAAUCAUUCUCUUGAAUGAGAACUAAGAAACAUAAGGAAACAAAUCAUGGAAAUGAUGAUCAAAUUCUCACCUUUUCUUUGCUACCAGCGCUUCCAACAACAUAGCAGCCCAACAUCUUAGCAAAUUGCCCCACAAGCUGACCAACCGCACCAGAUGCAGCUGACACAUAAACUGUCUCUCCUUUCUUUGGAGAACAAACUUCAUAAAACCCAGCAUAGGCGGUCAUACCGGGCAUACCUGUCAGGACAGGACAAAACCCAUCAGAGAGUGAAUAUAUGAAACAGAUCAACAAACCAAACAGUUGAAACUCUAGUCUUCUAGCUAGAUUGAAGUUAUAACUAAUUCCAUUCCUAUGUUUCAAAGAUUUGUUAGACAUCCAUAACGAUUAUGACAUUCAACUACAUGAUCUUUGUCUCAAGCCAAAACUUUGUAUGAAGAAGCAGAGAUUUCCAAAGUUUACAGAAUGAUUCCACUUACAAAACCAUGAAAACGGCAGAGAUUAACAUACCGAGAAGUCCCGUGUAGUAAGAUAAUGGAACAUCGGUAUGCUGGAUCUUGAAAUGCACGUGAGGUGUUGGAGUGAUAACAGAGUACUCCUCCCAUGCAACUAUACCCCAGAGUAAGUCUCCUUUUUUGUAAUCUGGAUGUCCAGAUUCUACCACUCUGGACACUACAUACCCUUGGAUUGGCUGCACCAAAACACACAAUGGGAAUUAAAAACAGUCAACAAGAUAGAGAUAGCAAAAAGUAAAACCCAAAGAGACACAAUUUAUUCUCAGAGUCAUCUUCAAGAACACCAAACCGUCAUCACAAAAAGUAUACUAUUAUUAUAAUAAGAUAUUGUUCUGUUCACAAAGUAUAAGUAUUUAUAUGCCAAAAGAGAAUUCAAAUAAUAAUCAUGCAAACCAAACCAAACAUUAUCAUCAUAGUCGAUGGUACCUGGCCGGGAGUGUAAGCUUGAGCAAGAGCAGCAGUGGAAGGAUCAGGUUUCCCCAUGCGAAUCCUCAUGUAAGGAUCGCAUGACAAGUAGAGAUUCUUCACCAGAACCAAGUUAGAACCUUCCGGAACCUUAAGUUCGACGGUGGUGGUUGUGAAAUCGAAAUCGGAUUCCUUAGGGAAACCAUUCACGUAGUCUUUCAAUAUGACCUGCUUGUUCGUCGCCGUCAUCGUUAACUCUUCUUCCUCGAUUCAACUUCUGACUUCACCCAUUUGUUACUUCUUCUUCGGUUUUUCGAGGACGUGGCUGUUUUUAUAGUGACAUCUCCUGUGUGCCACUAAUCAAUCUCAUGAUAUCAACUUAUCAAGUAUGACGUCACUGCUUAUGUUUAUUAUUUAUCAGAUACUUUCUCUUUCGAGGCUUCGAGCGUUUUUUUUUUUUUCACAUUUUUGGUAUAUAUCUCCUUUCACGUUUUCAUUUUUUUUUUUUUUUUUUUUUUUUUUUGAAGUAGUAGUAUUAAAUUUCUCAUUAAUGAUAUAUGAAUAUCUAGAAGUAGUAGUAUUAAAUUUCUCAAUAAUGAAGUAGUACUCCCUCCGUUUCGUUUUAGUUGUCGUUUAAGGUUUUUUCACACAAAUUAAGAAAGCAUUAAAUUUUCUGUUUUACUCUUUAUUAAUAUAUUUUAUAAAAAAAUUCAUUGGCCAAAACAUUAAAACUGUAGGGAUAAAACUGGAAUUUUCACCAAACAUUUGCAUUGAAAACCUAAAACGACAACUAUUAUGAAACAAAAUUUAAAUCCUAAAACGACAACUAAACUGAAACGGAGGGAGUAGUACACUACAGAUGUAAAAAACUUGAGCGUUUUUUAUCCUUUUAAACUGUAGUAGUAUUAAAUUUCUCACUAAUGAUAUCUGAAUUUUUUUUGUAUCGGGCUAUAUAUUUUGUUAAAACUUCAGUGAUCUCUCUAAAGUCUAAACGUAACACUGUGGUUAAUCCAGAUUCAAUAGCUCUAUUGGUAGUCUGGUACUAGCAGACUUUCCAAAGAAAAUUUGCCUCAAGGUCUUCGCUAUUAUAGAGAAAAACUUGCUUUGAUCCUCGACCAGAGGGGAGGGUACCUACGGACCUGAAACCCAUAAUGGCAUAAUCUUUGAGUUGCCAAAAUUUAAACACGUUGUGGUCAAUAUCCUCAUUUGUGGUCACCUAACUGACAAAAUUGGGUAGUUUACUAAUUUACCAGAGAGACAACACAUAUGACAUAUCUCACCAAACCUACAAAACAGUAUCCCAGCUUCCCAAUAGUUCCCGCAAAACAGAGCCAUGUAAUUGUGAUUUUGAUGUUAGCAGCAACACUAACUGUAGUCAUUGAUGUUUAAACACGCAUACUGGGGAGUUGGGAAUAUGAGCUACAAAACAUGGGUUUGUAUUUUUCUUUUUUUUUUUGGAUUUGUGAGAGAGGUUUGGGCUUCUUUGUUACUACUUCCAUACAUUUUAUGAACAAUUCACAUAAAACCAAUAACAAACAAAUUCAUAUUACUGUAUAUUAAAAUUUACUAUAUUUACUCUUUAUUAUUCAUAAACCAGAAACUCACGGUUAGGUUCAACAGCCAUACAAAAUAUUGUUGGAUAAAUAUAACAUUACUCCCAAAUAAGUAUUCUUCAAUCACGCUCAAUACAACAUUACUCCCAAAUAAGUAUUCUUCACUCACGAGCAACAACGACAACUUGUUUCCCAACGUUCUUACCAUGGAAGAGUCCCACAAGCGCUUCAGGACCUUUCUCAAGCCCAUCAGCUACAUCUUCCACAUACGUUAUCUUCCCUUCUUUAAUGCACGGAAGCACAAACUCCAAGAACUUUGAGUAUUUGUCGUAGUAAUCAAACACUGCAAAGCCUUGAAUGCGGAUUCGUUUGUAGAUUAUGUUGGAUAGGUUGUGUACACCUUCUUGGUUUUCAAGAUUGUACUGUGAGAUCAUUCCACACACAGCGAUACGUCCGUGUGGGUUCAUGUUUAAGAGCACUGCGUCUAGCAUUUU
rnacentral:lncRNA from 1 species